CGCCCCUCCGACGAUCUCCAACCGGCGGCGCCGCCUCCAUCUUGUCCGCAUCGACGAGGCGCGUCGAACGGUACCCCGCACGCGUCCAGGGACCCUCAACAUCGGCCGCACGCGCGACGUCUGCCGCCGGUGACCACCGCAUCUGGAACGCGAGCGGCGUCUCUUCAUCGAGCACCUUCAGCGCGUUGCAGACAUGCUUCGCCACGUCGACUUCCACCUCAGCGCCGGGCCCCACCUGUCAGCGCCUCGGGCUAACCAGCCCCGCGCAUUUGCUUCUUCCCGGAUAGGAUCGCGAAGUGGUGUGGUGAGAUACGACAAGUCCUCCGGAUGUUCCUCGGCAAGCUUUAACAGGCAAGCAUUUCCCCUAUACUUCUGCCCCUGCAGAAGUCGCUCACCUAUUUUAUUUUGCCUUCUCCCUCAUGCUAUCCUUAAGUUGCGUUCUUGUCACGUGUCCCUUCCACUUGUUACCUCAAGCAGCCUAUAUUGCCACCAUCACCUCCUACGGCUAUUGUUUGGUUAUCGGGUCUGCCUUGCGAGUCGUAGUGCAUGCUAGUGUUGUGUUAUCUUGAUACCGUUAUGCUACCUUAUCGGGUUAUCUGUUGGGGAACAUGACACAUGGUUUAUGGUUAUAUCUGUUGAGGGUAUCAUGGUUACUUGUUAAUAGUUGUUAGCGGAGGCAUCGGUGGGUCAGUUGCUCGUUUUAUGACGGCUCACUUGUGUUUCCUAAAUAUCUUAGGACCCCGAGUUCUUGUUAUCUGUUCCGAGACUGAGCGCUCUAACCACACGUGGGUAUGUUUCUGGGUCUCCCCUCGACCACUGCCGGAAUCUACAGCUUUGUCCAGUGGCCACAACUAGUUUGCAAUGUUUUACCAUUUGUUGUUUGCGUGCAUGCCAGCCUGUUACUUAAUUAUUUUGGGAAGCCCCUGGGUGCCUUGUAUCCCUUGUUUCUGGUAUGCACGUAUAGGUCGCGGAGCCGCUGCGAAGUGGUUUAUCGCCCCAGUGUGUGUUUAAACCACCUAGUACGCUGUCGCAAACAGCUAGGUCCGCUUCGGAGAUACGGCCGGACUCUGAUACGGGUUCAACUUGGUUAGGUGGCUUCCUGGACAUUGUUGUCGUGAAGGAGAGUGCGAGUCGUGAUGUCCACCUGUCGCAAGUGGGUUGAUCGUGCGUGUGGGCACAUUUGGGCACCCCUGCAGGGUUAAAUCUUAUCGAUAAGCCGCGUCCGCGGUUAUGGACGCUUGGAGCUGUAUGACUCGACCAUAGACAACUUACACCUGUUGUUUAUCAAUAAUAACUUGCGUAGUAAGUUAGUACAACUUCAAUAAUAAAUGGUUAAAACUUGUCAAUCGUGUGAGUGCCCUUGUAAGUACUUCCUUGCGAGGGGGAACACAUCGGCUGUGUUAUGUUUGCGGAGUAUAGAACUGUUAGUUUAUGCGCUCUCUCACCUUCUCUGAUAGACGAAUGUUGUAGAGUGUCUCUAUAGGUUUUUAUUGCUUGCGCGCUGCCGCUUAACCCCACCAUAUUGCCUAUGACGUUCCUCUUGCGUCCUCUAAGUCCCCUGCGUGCCUCAAGUACAAAGGACGACUGGUUGACGAAUGCUUAUACGUCUUGAAGUCUUGUUAAGUACGAACCCGUACUUAUUGCUGCUUCUACGGGAUAUAACCGGGCAGGUAUGAAGAUAUGUUCGAUGAAGAUGACGCUAGCAAGGUUACCCUUCCGGCUUGGCCUGGGCAGGGUUAUGGACGCCAUCGUUUAUCUUCAGGACUCUUAGUCCAAUUUGUAUCUUGUCCGUACUCGGAUGUAUUUGAUCUUCUGUAUGAUUUGGAUCUUUGUAUUGUAUAUUUGUAUCUUGACUCGUUGGAGUCGUUGUUGUAAUAUAUCUGUAUCUUGUGGGCCCUAUUGUAAUCCUGUUGUAAUGAUUA